GUUCAGACAUCCUCAAAGAUCUACAGAUAAAGGGUUUACUGAACAUGAGUCAUGUGACAACCUUUGGAUCACGUCAAUUGUCAAUCUCCUGUGUCCAGCCACAAUGUCUUUGGAACAAGGUGUCCUGUGAGGAGCUGAGUGAGAUCCAAGAAGAAAAUGCUUCCUUCGGUAUCCUGGGUAGGUGCUCCUCCAGAAGCAGGGGUUCUAGGAAGAGGUCAAGACAAAGAGUGGAGAGAAGGAUGCCCAUAGCCUUUCUCAGAGGGGCUUAGAUUUGGAUUCUAUCUCCCACAGCAUCAUCUGUGACUGCCUUGCUCUUGGCACAGUGUGUGAAGCGUCUUCUCUAGAAGAAACUAGUACAGCCAGGUCAUCGUCACUCCAUGUAAGAUGGUAAUUGCAGCAGUCAGUGCUCAGCUUGACGUUCUGACACAGGACUAAGGUAUGGGCUCCAUUUCUGCAUAGGUAACUCAUUGGCCUACUGAACCAGUAAGUGACACUCAUGGACCAGUAAGUGACACAGUUACUUUUAUUCUCUUGACUGACACAUUAGUGGGCUGAGCUCAACAUGUGAUCUAGAAAACAAUCGAAAAGCUAACAUCAAGGACUGGGAGUUCUGCUGAGGAAAUGAGUUCCUGUCCCAGAACUCAUGCUUUGUUUUGUGAAGAUGGAAAAACAUCUGUACGGUGCUACACUCUGUGGGAAAACCAGCGCUCGGGAAAACGGGCACAGAGGGAUCCCUGGGGCUCACUGCUCAGCCAAACUAGCAUAUUUGGCAAACUUCAGGCCAGUAAGUGAGCCACCAACAAAAGGUAUGCAGAGAGCACUUAAAGAAGACCCCUGACAUGAGCACACAUGUGCUGCUUCAUCACACAUGUGUGUGCAAACACACGUAUACACUUUUAAAAAAAAUGAUGUCAAAAAACAAUUCCUAGGAAUUUGUCAAUGAUAGGUUUAGAAAUCAAAUAGAUAGCUUUCAUCCACGCAUAGUACCUACUAUUUCUCCUUGUAAAUCAAUAUUCCUCCCUGGCUCCCUGGCUCCCUGGCUCCCUGACUCCCUGGCCUCCUGGGUCCCUGGGUCCCUGGUUCCC